GCGCGGGUGGCGGAAUGGUAGACGCGCUAGUUUCAGGAGCUAGUACCGUAAAAAGUGUGUGAGUUCGAGUCUCAUCCCGCGCA
rnacentral:tRNA from 1 species